CUGGGACCGGAAGAGUACGGUGGCCCGGAGGCAGCCAGAGACUUUCCACGCUCUUUUCAUUUUUCAUGUCAGGGUACCACACUGUAGCUCAGCGUCGCCAGGCUGGCCAAUACUACCUCAGUUUCCCAAGUUUGGAGAUUACAUGUUCUGUUUGUUUUCUUUUUUAACAAACAAUAAAUUUAGUAUAAAGUAAUGGUAGUUGGAGGUAACGUACAAAGUAGAGGUGCUACGCCAAGAUGAAGCGCCACAAUAAGGCCAUCCUGUGUCUGCUGGUUCUUCAUGCACACACCAAUUAUUAGGUGAGGGGUUGGUAUUGGGCCUUCCGUUGCAAUGUUAGGUGUCCAUUUUGUAAUGAGCCCCAUUGGGGAGUUCGACCACUUCCUUGAUCUGUCAGAUCUGAUUGAUCCCCUUUCUGCUCUCAGAAACAAGCCACCUAUCAGUCUGUAAACAAACAAACAAACAAACAAAAAACUAGAUGGUUCCUGGAAGAUGGUGCUGUUUCUGGUGUACUCGGAGGCUGCAGUCAUCUCCCUCAAAAUGGACUUAGAAGCUGUGUUUCCAGAGGCAAGCAGAUUUACCUGGGGACUGCAUGCAUGCUAAGUCCAUGGUUGUCACGUGACCAUGUGGAAACUGCUGCACAACAGGAGCUCUGGAGUCAGGUGUUGUCUCAAGUUCCUGAUCUUCCUCAGACUUGUCAGUGCUAGGAUUAUAGGAAUGCAGUAGCAUGGUGCCUUUCCUUUGGAAACAGUAUCCAUACUUUAUGCCUAAGAAAUUCCAUGGCUAGGUGUUACUAAUAAUUAUGACUGCUUGCGACACUGCAUUUCUAAUAGAAAACUGUUCAUCUGGGGCUGGGUAUUAGUGGGGAAAAUGUUUGUUUGCUAUGCAUACGAACCUGGGGUUGAUCCUCGGUGUUGCAGGGAGAGAAAAGCUAUGCUAGUAUUAUUCAUAAUAUUCAUUAUAUCUUUAUGCUGGGAGCAAUCCAAGAGCUGGUGAGAAGCAGAGUGCCUUAGCUAAAUUGGGGAAUAUUUACACAACAGAACACUAUGAAACAAUGUCUCGAAACAACAAAACCCCACAAUUAAAAAAAAAAAAAAAGAGGGGUUGGGGAUUUAGCUCAGUGGUAGAGCGCUUGUCUAGGAAGCACAAGGCCCUGGGUUCGGUCCCCAGCUCCGAAAAAAAGGACCAAAAAAAAAAAAAAAUGAGUGUGUAAGUUAAAACCUGUGCGAAGUUUUAAAUAAUUUUACAAUUUAGGUCUUUGUAGAAUUGAAGUUUGUCAUUCUGCUUCUUCAGUUGUUGUUGUUGUUGUUGUUGCUGUUGUUGUUGUUGUUGUUGUUGUUUUGAGACAGGGUCUUGAUGAAGUAGCCCAGGCUGGCCUCAAAUUUGUUGUCAUCCUACUGCAUCAGCUUCCCGUGUCCUGGGGCUGUGAGCAUUCACCACCAAGUCUGGUUCCAUGGUUUUCUUACGCUCGAUCUAUCAUGCCGGGCUUAGGCAGUGAAGGAGUUGGAAGACAGAAAGCUGGCGAUAAUGUAGUAGAAUAAGGGAGGCCAAGGUUCAGCUCCAGCAAGCAGCAGAACUCGGCAGCUUCACCACGUGGCUCUGGCUUUAGAGUCCAGACGGGAAGGGACUACUGGGACAACUGAUGUUGGUCAGCCUGAGCUAAGAAGUCAGCAGUGAUUAAGAAGUGACCAGCAUCACUGAAGUGAAAUCUUUCCUGAGAGCACAAAGAAGCUAUGUUCCAGAGACACCCAAGGUCGUACCUCGUGCUGCAGCUGGACUUGGUAACGUGUAAGAAUCACUCAGGUGGUACUGGCUUUGAAGGUAUGAAGGGGUCAUGGAGAGUGGCUGAGGCUUGGCACCGAGAGAGGCCAUGGAAGGCCAUUGGUGAAGGUGCAGCCUCAGUUGCAGUGGAUGGCCCAAGAUGGCCCAAGAAUGAAGGGGUCAUGCAAAGGAGUUGAGGCUUGGCACCAUGAAGAGAGCCCAUGAGAGGCUAUUGGUGAAGCCUGGUUGCAGCAGAAGUCCCCAGUGUAUUGGAGAUGCCAGUACCAUGGGAUGAUCACCAAGAACAGCAGAGGCAGUGAAGUGGAUCACCCUGAGUUUAGAGAGCUACAGAGGGCAGGGCUGGAGAAGUGACACCAGCCCUUUGGAGGAUCCCAGAAGAUCAUGUGUGGAUACCAGACAUUGGGACAAGAAACUGUGAAGCUGAAGUUGACUUGGAGACCCCAAGAUGUUAACGAUGCCAGAGCCAUGGGCUAUCUGCUGAGGAAAGCUGCUAACAGGGAGUGGAACCAGCCCAGGAGAUAGAACUUUAUUGUAGUCAACAAAGAUGAAAAAUGAGUUGGAGAUCUCAAGACCAUUUUGACAUCAGACGUGGAGAUGUAGAGUUCUGAGUUUGCCCAGCUGGUUUCCUGUUUUGCUUUGGGUAUUAGAGUUAAGUGAUUGGAUGACUCUCAGAAGAAACUUUGAACCUUGGACUUUUAACAUUGUUGAGACUGCUAUAAGCUAUGGAGACUUUGGAAGUUGGACUAAAAGUACUUUUUAAAUUUUGCUAUGUUUAGGUCUGGCCCCCAUAGACUCAUGUGUUUGAACAGGCCUAUCGGGACCAGGGAGUGGCAUGUGAUGGUUUAUAUAUGCUUGGCUCAGGGAGUGGCACUAUUAGGUGUGACCUUGUUGGAGUAGGUGUGUUAUUAUAGGUGAGGACUCCCACCUUGAUAAUGGAUUGAACCUCUGAACCUGUGAACCAGUCCCAAUUAAAUGUUGGCCUUAUAAGAGUUGCCAUGGUCAUGGUGUCUGUUCAGAGCACUAAAACCCUAAGACAACCCCAGUCCCGAGUACCAACAUCUUAGUCAGAAUAGACACCAUAACCAAGGCAACUCUUUUUUUUUUUUUUUUUUUUUUUUUUUUUUUUUUGGAGCUGGGGACCGAACCCAGGACCUUGCGCUUCCUAGGUAAGCGCUCUACCACUGAGCUAAAUCCCCAGCCCCCCAAGGCAACUCUUAUAAGGCCAACAUUUAACUGGGACUGGUUCACAGGUUCAGAGGUUCAGUCCAUUAUCAAGGCAUGAGCAUGGCUUUGUCCAAGCAGGCAUGAUGUAGGAAGAGCUGAGAGUUCUACAUCUUAUUCCGAAGACAAACAGGAGAAGACUAGCUUCCAGGCAGCUAGGAUGAGGGUCAUAAAGCCCAAGCCCAUGGUGGCCCACCAACUGCAACAAGGCCACACCUCCAAAUAGUGCCACUCCCUGGGCCAGGGAUAUUUGAACCACCACAGUGUGUGUGUGUGUGUGUGUGUGUGUGUGUGUGUGUGUGUGUUGGGGGGAGGUGGGCACUGUGUAUUCAGAUGCUGAUUACUGUGCCCAUAAAUCUGGUUGCAAUCUAGGCAUUGGCAUUUUCAAGCAUUUCCUGUUUUAAUGUUGUAAAAAUUGUUUUCCCUCAUAUCUGAUUGGUUAAUAAAGAGCUAAUUAGCCAAUGGUUGGGUAGGAGAAGAGGAAGUGGGAUUUCUGAUCCUCAUGAGAGGGUCCCUGGUGGGGACCAGAGGAGUUCCAGGCAGUUGAGCUGUCUGACAUGGGUGCUGGGAACAGAACUCCAGGUGCUGGAAACAGCUCCAAUCCUGUGCAAGUGCUUUUAACUCCUGAGCCAUCUGUCCUGCCCAGGUUUGUUUGAAACAGUGUCUCACUCUCUGGCCCCAAACUCAUCUCAGUUGUCCUGCGGAGCCCUCCUGAGUCUGAGAUUACAGGUGUAAGACACUAUACCUGGCUUUUUUUUUUGUUGUUGUUUUUUUUAAUUAUGUCAUUAUCACCUAGGAAAAUUAUGGGUUUAAUUAAACAAAUUAACAUCUUCCCUAUUUUGGGUGCGUCUCUAGAAAACCCUGACAGGGAUGGUAGUAUGGACAAAUUUCUUAAUCGGGUGAAGUCUAUAUUAGGGGUAUAUUGCUCAGGAAUGUGUUGGUUUUCAUUGUAUUUGUACAUAUUCAAGUGUGUCUGUCUUUGUGUAUGCCACCCAUGGAAGGGUGUUCAUGGAGGCCAAAAGAGGGUGUUAGAUCCCCUGAAGCUGACGUCACAAUUGGCUGUGAGCCACCUGAUGUGGGUGCUAGGACAUGAGGAACCUGGAGUGAAGGAAGCACUCCUACCCACUGACCCAGCACCACCUCCCAUGUCUCCAGCCCUUAACUGCUCCAAGUUUAUGUAGUUUCUUUUUCUUUUUUUUUAAAGAUUUAUUUAUUCAUUUAUUAUAUAUAAGUACACUGUAGCUGUCUUCAGACACACCAGAAGAGGGCAUCGGGUCUCCUUACAGAUGGUUGUGAGCCACCAUGUGGUUGCUGGGAAUUGAACUCAGGACCUCUGGAAGAGCAGUCGGGUGCUCUUAACCGCUGAGCCAUCUCUCCAGCCCGUUUAUGUAGUUUCUAAUCUAUUACAUCAUGUUAAACUUUUAAACAUUUUAUGUAUUUACUCAUUUAUUAUUAUUUAUGUAUUAUGUAUUUACUUAAGUGAGAAGGUGUGUAUCAGCAGAGGACACGGGACAACUUGAGGAUGUCCUUUCCUUCUACCAUGUGGCUUCCAGGGAUCAGACUCAGGUCAUUACACUUGGGCAGCAAGUACCUCUUGCUUGCUGAGCCAUUCUUCCUGCCCCAAAUCACAUUUUGGGGUGGGUGGUUUUGUUUGUGGUGUGUGUGUGUGUGUGUGUGUGUGUGUGUGUGUGUGUGUGUGAGAGAGAGAGAGAGAGAGACAGAGACAGAGACAGAGACAGAGACAGAGACAGAGAGAGAGAGGAGGAAUCAAUUUAGAGCCUCAAAACACUUAUGGUAGGGGCUGGAGAGAUGGCUCAGCGGUUAAGAGCACCCGACUACUCUUCCAGAGGUCCUGAGUUCAAUUCCC
ensembl:lncRNA LOC120100687 uncharacterized LOC120100687